GAGAACCGAGUGGCAAACGGGUGAGUAACGCGUAGACAACCUGACCGCAAAGGAUGGGGACAACAGUCCGAAAGGACUGCUAAUACCGAAUGUUGUGCAACCUCCGCAUGGAGGAUGCAUUAAAGAUGGCCUCUACUUGUAAGCUAUCGCUUUGCGAUGGGUCUGCGUCUGAUUAGCUAGUUGGUGGGGUAACGGCCUACCAAGGCGACGAUCAGUAGCCGGUCUGAGAGGAUGAACGGCCACAUUGGAACUGAGACACGGUCCAGACUCCUACGGGAGGCAGCAGUGGGGAAUCUUCCGCAAUGGGCGAAAGCCUGACGGAGCAACGCCGCGUGAGUGAAGAAAGGUCUUCGGAUCGUAAAGCUCUGUUGUCGGGGACGAAUGUACCUUUUGUGAAUAAUGAGAGGUAAUGACGGUACCUGACGAGGAAGCCACGGCUAACUACGUGCCAGCCGCAGC
rnacentral:rRNA from 1 species